rnacentral:lncRNA from 1 species
AGAAAUUUACAUUCAAACAUGUAAACUUUGCGUUGGUAGCGAUAACUUCUGAUAUCCAGGGUUAGUCGCUUGAUUUAUGGCAGAUUUCGCUGCGCUUAGAUAACAUAUUUGCAGUUUACAGACUUAUUGUAAUCGUAUGAUAGCAUUAGCCUCUGAUUUCCAGGGUUAAUAGCUUAUCUUGAACUUCCCCUUUUCAUAUAUGGUCUGCCACCUCAAACAUAUUCGGCGAUCAUCAUAUAACAUUUUCAAAGACACAUAUGCAUUUUUAUCAGUUAAUUUUAGUUCAUAGAUCUACAUGUAUCACAAAUUGCAUUUCAUAUAAUAGUACAUAUAUCAUAUCACAAAUUGCAUUUCAUAUAAUAGUACAUAUAUCAUAUCUGUUAAUAAAUGCUGUGGCCAUUUCCUGC